GAUGAACGCUAGCUACAGGCUUAACACAUGCAAGUCGAGGGGCAUCAGUUUGGUUUGCUUGCAAACCAAAGCUGGCGACCGGCGCACGGGUGAGUAACACGUAUCCAACCUACCUCAUACUCGGGGAUAGCCUUUCGAAAGAAAGAUUAAUAUCCGAUAGCAUAUAUUUCCCGCAUGGGUUUUAUAUUAAAGAAAUUCGGUAUGAGAUGGGGAUGCGUUCCAUUAGUUUGUUGGGGGGGUAACGGCCCACCAAGACUACGAUGGAUAGGGGUUCUGAGGGGAAGGUCCCCCACAUUGGAACUGAGACACGGUCCAAACUCNUACGGGAGGCAGCAGUGAGGAAUAUUGGUCAAUGGACGCGAGUCUGAACCAGCCAAGUAGCGUGAAGGAUGACUGCCCUAUGGGUUGUAAACUUCUUUUAUAUGGGAAUAAAGUGGUCCACGUGUGGACUUUUGUAUGUACCAUAUGAAUAAGGAUCGGCUAACUCCGUGCCAGCAGCCGCGGUAAUACGGAGGAUCCGAGCGUUAUCCGGAUUUAUUGGGUUUAAAGGGAGCGUAGGCGGAUUGUUAAGUCAGUUGUGAAAGUUUGCGGCUCAACCGUAAAAUUGCAGUUGAUACUGGCAGUCUUGAGUGCAGUAGAGGUGGGCGGAAUUCGUGGUGUAGCGGUGAAAUGCUUAGAUAUCACGAAGAACUCCGAUUGCGAAGGCAGCUCACUGGAGUGUAACUGACGCUGAUGCUCGAA
rnacentral:rRNA from 1 species